GUGAAAAAUACCCAAGGAGCCAGCUUCUACCCAAUGAAACAAGAAAGUUAGGCUCUGCUCUCCAGCUACCCAGUCGUUCCGUGGCUGGGAAGAAGUCUUCAUGGAAAGCCUUUGCAACAAACAGGCUGUGACUCUGAGGUCCCUCUGGGGUUGAGUUCCCCGGAGUGAGAAUCUUGCAAACUAGGCAUGUCUCUGCAAGGAGAGUCACUCCCGGCACAUCAAGGUGAAAACGACCGACCCUCAGGUGACCGUGUAAGUAAGGGCUGCUAGCGGAAGGCGACAUUUGCAGUGUACAUUUAACUAAAAGCAUUGGAUUGUUCUGUGAUCCUGGGAUUUGUCCGUCCUCUGAAACCUCAACGACUUUAGCCACUCACGUUUGGGAUGCGCCUUCGCCACGGGGGGCGGGAAAGCCGUACGGCCCGAGGUCCAACAAGAGAGGGUGUUUUAUUUCGAAUAAGCCCCGGUCGCUCUUUCCCCACCCACCUCUGCUAACUUAUAACGGUCAGGGAGGGACGCGCUGCACGCCGGUAGGUCUACCGUCUCCACCAAGGACGAGCCCCAUGGAGAAAGUGCAAAAAGUUCUCCGUUGCAUUCCCGCCCUCUCCAAAACUUCGGUCCCAGUCGCGGGGGGACAGGAGGGUCACUGAGGAAUUUGCAAUUUCCGGGAGGCUGCGGGAGGAAGCACGCCUGAGCACCGUCCCAGCAGGGGUGGCCCUCGAACCCGACUUCCCCCUCGCCGCGCUCGGGAGCUAGGCCGGAGGGGCGUGGCUAGGGGGGGACGGGGGCGGGGCCCCACCUGCGCGCGCGCGGAGCGGGGCUGGGCUCCGCAACAGCUGCAGCAGU